GACAUCUUCAUUACACCUGGGCACUGAGCAGUACAUAUUGGUAAGCACAUAUAUGUGACAAAUAUAAACACAUAUACCAUACUCAAAAUAGACACUCAGAAAACUGUAUUACAAUAAAGACGAAAACCACAAAGGUAUACUACGAAUUCAGAUUUCAAAAUUCUAAAAGAGAGAAGGCCAAGUCAAAUAUAACAUAAUAAAUAACAUUAGAAGGAAGAAGAGUUAUUUUGGAGGAGGUGAUUAUUUGUCUCUUAACAAUCAAUUACUCAGGAGUUAAAUGAGCUAUGAACCUAUCCAAAACAAAAAAACAAAACAAAACAAACAAAAAAAGAAACAUAAGGAAAGAAAAGAAAGAAAAGACUAUAUUUCUACAUUGUGUGAUUUCAACUAUUUGACUCUUUAUAAAAUAAGUAUAUAUGUAAUGUUGCCAAGGAAGAAGUGAAUGGCUAAAGUAUUGAUGGAGGAAAGAAUAUAAAGUAAGUAGGACUUUGAUCAUUUUUAAGAACAGUAAAAGUACACUGUAUAUUAUUUUCAACAUGAUAUAUUUGUCUAAAUUUAUAUGAUAUACAACAGCAACAAUUAUUUUUAUGUGAAUUCUGAACAUUAGGUGAUAUCCAUGAGCCAAUAGAGUCAUCAAUUAUGAGAAAUAUGCAAUUCAGUUGGACUAUAUUGGUUUUGUUUUUUGUUUAUUUCUUUCUUUGUUUGUUUGCUUGGUUUGGUUUUCUAACAAAUAAAGUUUUAUUGAAGCAAAGUCACAUUCAUUUGUUUAUGCAGUAUCUAUGGCUAUUUUUACACUAUAAAGACAGGGUUAAGCAGUUAUGACACAGACAACCUAGCCUGCAUAGCUCAGAGUAUUUACUAUAAGGUCUUUUAUAGAGCAUGUAGGCUGACACCUAGCUGAGUAACAAAUGUCAUUCAUUUUACUAAACACUUGCAUCAUUUUCAGAGGGAUCCAAAGAGCUACAACAGCCAGAGAAAAUAUGUGGAGAGAAGCCCAGUGUGAGUGCAAACUUGUAAACUACCAUUUGGGAAAAGAAAGCAGAAAGAUUUAAGAGUAAAAGACUGGUCUUAAAAAGUAAGAAUAAAUGACAUGUGGCUUAAGCCUUUUAUGACAUUCAGGGUGGUUUAAAGAUGGAAAUUAAAACUGCAAGACAUUAGGCAGUGUCUCUAGGCAAUAAUUUCAAUGAACUGAACUGUUACAGAGAAAACCGAGUAUCAGUGCAAUACAUAAAAUUAUCAUUUUAGGUCAAGUGAAACAUUCCUUGUUUUGGCAACAGUAUACCUCUUGCUAAGAGAAUUAUAAGUGGCUGACAGACUUUAUCUAACAUAUUGGUAUACAGGCCACUUUCUCAGAAAAAUGUCCAGGAGAGAUGAAGAGAGAAAGGGUAGAAACUGUGAGAUAUUGCCUAGGGUCCCACUGGCCAGGACAUAGAAUUUCAGGGGAAUGAUAGGCCUUCAGCUGCCUUCUGUCAAAGUGCUUGUCAAAGAUCAGCUACAUAGAUGACUCCAUGACCAGGUUCUUGGGAGCACUGUCUCCAUAUAAGUGCUUCAUCUCUGCUUGGUACAGAGCUUCUCAGAAGGGGACUCCACUGACCUGUGGUGGUUGAAGUACAGGCCAUGAUCUGCCUUCAUAUAGUCAUCUAGGCACUCUUCAUCCAGAUUAGCUGUUCCUAUAUCUCUUUGCUGUGCCUCUCAGUCUGUGUGAAGUAUUGGCAGAGCUCCUAGAUCAUUUCUUUAUUGCUCGGGUCACUGGCUGCUUCAUCAUUUGAAUCCAACUCCAGCUCUUUCUCUUCACACAGUGCUUCAUUUUCUCCUGUGGAUGCUUGGUUUUUAUUGUUAUGCAGAGACUUUCUAGAGUUUUUGAGAUUGGAAAAACUGUAGGGAGACCCGUGCCAGGCUGCCCUUGAGAGUUUCAUAAAGGAGAGAGUUCCAGGGAAAAGCUCCAUGGGGCAAGAACCAUGGGGAAAUGAACUAGGAAUUCCUGAACUUUCUGUAGGCAUCCUGGUGCCUUUGCAUCCAAAGCACUGCAUGAUGAUUAGGUCUCAGUAGCUUGCAGAUACUGGGUGAGAAUACCAAGAUGCAGUAGCUCUCCAUUUUGAUGCCAUCACUGCUAUCUAUCACUACAACACUCCAAGUGGGAACUCAUGGGCAUGCAGCUUGCAGAUCUCAUGCAGUGGGCAACAACAAAUCUAGUUCUCAAAGCAGGGAGAAUGAAGAGGUACAGGGUGGAGAAUACAAAGAGGGAACCAUUUGUUAUGUUUCCCUUUUCAUUUCUGAUUUUAUUAUCCAAAUUAAUUUAUCAUUCUCUCCUGUAUUCAACUAUAUUUUAACCCCUUUUCACCUUAUAUCCAAGCAUACCCACAAGCAUAUUUUAUCUGCUCCAAGAUCUCAGCCUGGGCUAUGUAUUUCACACUAGGCUGAGUUACCAUCAGUUUUCCUGUGAGCCCCCUACUUCCUGAGGAAAUAGGCUAGCUGCAUACUGUAGCAUAACAUCCUACUUAACAAUGGUUAGCAAGUCCCCAAUCCUUGCCAUUUUUUCUUUUCUUUUUUUUUAUUACAUAUUUUCCUCAAUUACAUUUCCAAUGCUAUCCCAAAAGUCCCCCAUACCCUCUCCCCCACUUCCCUACCCACUCAUUCCCAUUUUUUUUGGCCCUGGCGUUGCCCUGUACUGGAGCAUAUACAGUUUGCGUGUCCAAUGGGCCUCUCUUUCCAGUGAUGGCCUACUAGGCCAUCUUUUGAUACAUAUGCAGCUAGAGUCAAGAGCUCCGGGGUACUGGUUAGUUCAUAAUGUUGUUCCACCUAUAGGGUUGCAGAUCCCUUUAGCUCCUUGGGUACUUUCUCUAGCUCCUCCAUUGGGAGCCCUGUGAUCCAUCCAUUAGCUGACUGUGAGCAUCCACUUCUGUGUUUGCUAGGCCCCGGCAUAGUCUCACAAGAGACAGCUACAUCUGGGUCCUUUCGAUAAAAUCUUGCUAGUGUAUGCAAUGGUGUCAGCAUUUGGAAGCUGAUUCUGGGGUGGAUCCCUGGAUAUGGCAGUCUCUACAUGGUCCAUCCUUUCGUCUCAGCUCCAAACUUUGUCUCUGUAACUCCUUCCAUGGGUGUUUUGUUCCCAAUUCUAAAUCCUUGCCAUUUUAAACUAGAUCAUUGUCUCUCAAUGUUUCCAAUUGGAUACUAUGAUGGUAAUUCAUAUUUCGACCUUAAUUCUCAUUAAUCCUUUGUCUUGUUAAAUUGAAAACAAUGUCACAUUGUCUCUACAUGUGUGUUUCUUUUUUUAUCUCCUUUCACAAAAGGCAUUCUAUAGUGCCAAGCUGAUAAUCAGCAUCCAAUACAGUUAAUUUUAACAAUAUUAAUUUUUAUUCUCUUGUCCAGUUGUCUCUGGAUUUCUUAGUUGGAUGGUUUAAUUCUCCUGUGGAAAAAAGCAAACAACAUUCCCCCAAUCCUAAAUUUGGGUCUUUACAUUGACUAGCAAAAUAUAUGUUUCCUAGGGUGCAUUUUAGCACUAGAAAAAGCAUUAUCUUUUUAGAUUGAAACUAUAAACAUACCUUAUGUGGAUAAGUAUGCUGAUAUCUUCUCUUUUAAAAUGUAAAUUUAAAGUUGAUAUGCCUUUAUCUUUUAUAUUUCUAUGGACAUAUUUAUUAAUAAGCAAAACAUAUAUAAUAUCUUUAAGGAAAAAUGUAAUUUUGUAUUUUAUACUAUUUUUGGAGUUUUAGGCUGUUUGUAAGUGGCUGUAUCUUAUUAGCAGGGAAUUUCACCGUGACUUCAUUGUAUAGACCAUGUUGUGUUUGCAGAAAUCUGCCUCUGUCUCCUCUAUGCUGGAAUUGAAGGCAUGAGCCACCACUACUACUAAUUUCAAAUAUUUCAUCUCAAUUCCAAAUCAUUGUAACUCUUUAAUUUAGGAAACAAACUUGAACUAUAGUGCCAUUCUGAAUUUACAUAAAAAUUAAAAAUUUCCUAUGUUUUAGUAACAUCAAAAAGAAAAAAUACUUUGUAUAACCUCUUAGC
rnacentral:lncRNA from 1 species